UACGUAGGGUGCGAGCGUUAAUCGGAAUUACUGGGCGUAAAGCGUGCGCAGGCGGUUUUGUAAGCCAGAUGUGAAAGCCCCGGGCUCAACCUGGGAAUGGCAUUUGGGACUGCAAGGCUGGAGUUUGGCAGAGGAGACUGGAAUUCCCGGUGUAGCAGUGAAAUGCGUAGAUAUCGGGAGGAAUACCGAUGGCGAAGGCAGGUCUCUGGGCUAUAACUGACGCUCAUGCACGAAAGCGUGGGGAGCAAACGGG
rnacentral:rRNA from 1 species